rnacentral:tRNA from 1 species
GGAGCUGUAGCUCAGCAUGGUUAGAGUGUCGGCUUGUCACGCCGAAGGUCGCGGGUUCGAAUCCCGUCAGCUCCGCCA